AGGAGCCCCAAACCUUAUGUUUACAUUUAAAAGAUGUGAUUGCUCAAUUAAUAACUGUUGCACAGAUAAGCAUAACCCAAGAAAUGCUUUAUGAAAACUGCAAAGGUUUCCAGGAAUUGCAAUUAAAUACUCAGUUCUAUAAUGUAAAAAGCUGUCACAUAAAACUACAAGUAAGGCCCUUUCCAGUGGCAAAUAUACCACCAGUUGGGGACUCCAUACUGGAGGGCCAAUCAAGUGGCCUAUUACCUCAGGGCCCCCCUAUGGGUAUUGCUUAACAGGGGCCCUACUGUGAUGGGAUUCCAGC